UACGGGGGGAGCAAGCGUUGUUCGGAUUUACUGGGCGUAAAGGGCGCGUAGGCGGCCAGCACAAGUCAGUUGUGAAAUCUCCGAGCUUAACUCGGAAAGGUCAACUGAUACUGUGCGGCUAGAGUGCGGAAGGGGCAACUGGAAUUCUUGGUGUAGCGGUGAAAUGCGUAGAUAUCAAGAGGAACACCUGCGGCGAAGGCGGGUUGCUGGGCCGACACUUACGCUGAGGUGCGAAAGCGUGGGGAGCAAACAGG
rnacentral:rRNA from 1 species